UGUGUGUGUGUGUGUGUGUGUGUGUGUGUGUGUGUGUGUGUGUGUGUGUGUGUGUGUGUGUGUGUGUGUGUGUGUGUGUGUGUGUGUGUGUGUGUGUGUGUGUGUGUGUGUGUGUGUGUGUGUGUGUGUGUGUGUGUGUGUGUGUAUGUGUGUGUGUGUGUGUGUGUGUGUGUGUGUGUGUGUGUGUGUGUGUGUGUGUGUGUGUGUGUGUGUGUGUGUGUGUGUGUGUGUGUGUGUGUGUGUGUGUGUGUGUGUGUGUGUGUGUGUGUGUGUGUGUGUGUGUGUGUGUGUGUGUGUGUGUGUGUGUGUGUGUGUGUGUGUGUGUGUGUGUGUGUGUGUGUGCGUGUGUGUGUGUGUGUGUGUGUGUGUGUGUGUGUGUGUGUGUGUGUGUGUGUGUGUGUGUGUGUGUGUGUGUGUGUGUGUGUGUGUGUGUGUGUGUGUGUGUGUGUGUGUGUGUGUGUGUGUGUGUGUGUGUGUGUGUGUGUGUGUGUGUGUGUGAGUUUGUUAAACCUACCAACCGGGGGAAAUCGUAUGAAUACACACCAACAAACCGGGGAACACCUACCAACCGGGGAAUUCCCCGGUUGGUUUUAGGCGAAAAUCUCUAAUCUACGUGUAUGAAAUACCAAACUGUCAAUUUAAAUUAGAAAUCCAACGCCUUCCCCGAUUAGCGGGUUUGUGGCAUGCACAAAAUAUACACAAAUCUUGACCAUAUUACAGUCGAGUGUGUAUCCAGGCUUAUAACAGUUCCCCGGUUGCGCUGUUUAAAAAUCAUACACUCGGUAUUUAUAUCAUUUAGUGAAAGUAAGUUGGAAAAAUGGAGUUUCGAGCGAACAAACGCAUUAAACUAAGUAGCCAAAAGGGUCCAAGUCCCCUUGAUCUCGCAAGAACGUACUGCCAGUAUUACGUUGAUCCACCAUGUUUUGAAGUAAAAACCGUCAAUGAUGUCAUAGGCGAAGGAGUCUUUGCCACUAAGCCUUUUAAAAAGGGAGACUUUCUUCUCGAAUACAAAGGGGAUCUGAUAACACGAGUAAAACAUGCACGGUAAUUAGAAAAGGAGUAUGAAAAGGAGGUUCAAGUCAGCUUCAUGUACUUUUUAAAUACAGAGACAAAUCUUGCUGCAUUGACGCUACCAACGAUAUAUUUCAUGAGGGUCGAAUGAUAAAUGAUGCCGAAAAUGGAGAUGCAAAACAAAAUUGUGUAAUGAAAAUAGUUGAAGUCAACCAAACUCCCCAUCUAUGCACUUUCGCCGACAGAGACAUUGCAAUUGGCGAGGAACUCCGAUAUGAUUAUGGAGUACCAACUCUUCCAUGGAGAAAGGUACAUUCUAUUGUAAAGAUGUCAUCUGUGAUGGAUUUAUCACUGAUAUUUAUCAAAUAUCACAUUUUAAAUUAGCUUUAAAUGUCUUUUGAAUUAUUAUUUUU